rnacentral:misc_RNA from 1 species
GAAAUGCGAUAAGUAAUGUGAAUUGCAGAAUUCAGUGAAUCAUCGAAUCUUUGAACGCACCUUGCGCUCCUUGGUAUUCCUUGGAGCAUGCCUGUUUGAUUAUCAUGAAAUCUUCAAAGUAAAUCUUUUGUUAACUCAAUUGGUUUCUACUUUGGUAUUGGAGGUCUUUGCAGCUUCACACCUGCUCCUCUUUGUUCAUUAGCUGGAUCUCAGUGUUAUGCUUGGUUCCACUCGGCGUGAUAAGUUAUCUAUCGCUGAGGACACUGUAAAAGGUGGCCAAGGUAAAUGCACAUGAACCGCUUCUAAUAGUCCAUUGACUUGGACAAUACUUUUAUGAUCUGAUCUCAAAUCAGGUAGGACUACCCGCUGAACUUAAGC